AAGCGGUGGAGCAUGUUGCUUAAUUCGAAGCAACGCGAAGAACCUUACCUGGGCUUGACAUGCUUGGAUUAACCCCUGGAAACAGGGGCCACACCCGCAAGGGUGGAACAAGCACAAGUGCUGCAUGGCUGUCGUCAGCUCGUGCUGUGAAGUGUCGGGUUAAGUCCCUUAACGAGCGCAACCCUUGUCGCUAGUUGCUAUCAGGUCAUGCUGGGUACUCUAGCGAGACUGCCGGUGUCAAACCGGAGGAAGGUGGGGAUG
rnacentral:rRNA from 1 species